rnacentral:rRNA from 1 species
UUCGAGUGGCGGACGGGUGAGUAACGCGUGGGUAACCUGCCUUACACAGGGGGAUAACACCUGGAAACAGGUGCUAAUACCGCAUAAGCGCACAGGGCCGCAUGGCCCGGUGUGGAAAACUCCGGUGGUGUAAGAUGGACCCGCGUCUGAUUAGCUUGUUGGCGGGGUAGGGGCCCACCAAGGCGACGAUCAGUAGCCGGCCUGAGAGGGUGGACGGCCACAUUGGGACUGAGACACGGCCCAAACUCCUACGGAAGGCAGCAG